rnacentral:lncRNA from 1 species
AGCAGUACAAAUCUAUGUUUUCACGAGUUGACCCAUAAAGAUUACGAAUUGACUCCCGUUGAAUAAGAGUUGACCCUAGAAGCAAACGAAUCGACCCCCGAAUGGCCAUAGAUAACAGAUAAAGAGUAGUCAAAAUAGUAUGUUGGCAAGUUGACUCAUAAAUAUCACGAGCCGACUCUUGUUGAAUAAGAGUCGACCCAUAAGUAAACGUAUCAACUCUAGAAUGGCCAGAGACAAAAGAUAGAGAGUAGCCAAGUUUAGCAUAUUAAUGAGUCGACCCUAAAGGAUAAUUAGUCGACCC